GGAAACAGAGGCUGAGGGAGGGUAUGUCUCCUGGCUGGGAUCAGACAGCUUGUGUCCCUCUGGAUCUCUCCAAAGCCUGGCCUCCUCCCAGAACAACGCACUGUCUUCUGCCACAUGACAUCCCCACGAUUUUGCUCUGAAGAUGAUGUCGCAAAACAACUGACUUUAGACCAAAUUCAUUCCAGUGCAUUACCUUCAAGGAAUGUACUGGUAAGAACACAUUAUGCUGGAAUGAGACAUAGCCCUGCUUCUGAAAUCUGCCUGGCAUCUUCUAGGAGGUGGCCCUGUCUUCUCAGCUCUUUCAGAAGCUGUGCAUGUCACGUAAAUACUCAGCAGUUGGCUCAGAUGUGGGAGAAAAUGAGAGCUGGAAGGACAUGGAAACAUGGAGUGGAACUCUUGAAGUAGACCCCAAGCCUCCUGUGUCUACAGGCCCCCAAAUGGAAUCACUUGGCUGUUUAUAGGAGUCUUAGUGCUGAUGAAAAGACUGAAUUACACUCCAGACUUUUCCCUGCCAAUGGAGAAAAGUUCCAGAUUCUUUAAAAAGUAUGUAAAGCAUCUAUCUGAAAAGUGGCAACAGCAUUUGGGACCAAUUACCCAGAUUAAGAGGCAACGAUGAUCUGUUUACACUUUGUAGCCAAGAGCCCUUUGGCUCUGGUCCACAAACUGGAGAUUGUAAAUUACAGGAAUUUCAGCCUAACAUUGACUUCUCUUUUGACCUGUGUGUCUGAGAAUAGAGAAAAGCUGGUGGACAAGCCUUGUGUUACUUGCCCUAAAAUUUCAGUGGAUGGAGAACUGAAUAUCAUCUUCCAGGGUGAAAAAAAAGCAUGGUGUUCAUCACCGGGAAUCCAAGGUUGUGCCUGGCGGUGUAAUUGACUCCGUAACACAGAGAAAAGCUUUUCAAGCUCCUGACGCAGCUGCUGUCUGCAGACCCCCUGUACUGCCCGGGGAAGUGAGUCGGAACUCCUGCAGCAGAUGAGCAGAUGAGCGGAACAGCUACAAGAAGAUCUGAAGGUGGCCAAAAAUAACAGCGCUUUCCAGAUGAGGGAACCAGUUGCCCGGCACAGUGUCACAGGACAAUGGGGCCCAGUGCACACAAUGCCCAGCAUCUCCACUAGAUACAGCCUUGACAUCUUCAUGCUUAUGGAUGCUAUCCUGAAGAAGUCAAGACGGAUUCCCUUCUCUGAUGAGACUGUCUAGCAAGCAGAGAGGCACUCUUUUCCAGCAUCUGAUUGUCAUGCUGUAUCCUUCAGACUGUCUUCUGGACAAGCUGAAGACCAUAUGAUGUGAGCCAUGGAAACUUUCACCAAAUUUUUUUGCCCAAACUUGUGCCUUUUUCACCUCUCCUGAGAGUGAAACUUCCUUGGGGACCAUUUGUUACCUGUGCCACAGCAGCCUUGUGUACCAAAUGAGCUGCAUCCACUCCAACCAGAGAGCUACACCGGAUGAUGAAAAGAUAUCACCUCCCCGAAACAGAUGCUUCAUUUUACGAUGGAAACGGAGGAGCCGAAGCUUGCAGGUGCCGGGCUGACACGCGCUCUGCGGAGAAUCAUUAGAGUCUCCUUAGAGAACCGGGUUUACUCUGUUUAAUCAGCCCCAGGCAGGAGAAAUGGCUUCAUUUCAGCUCGAUGAGAGCCAGAUCACAAAAGGAAGAUAGAUGGCCAAAACGGCUCGUCACUGUAAGCAUAUUGUCUUAAUUUGAAGGAACAGCCUGGCACCCGUGCUAAUCAAGAAGGAAGUGCAAUAUGGCUAGCAUUGAGGGACAGUCGGCUUAACUCUCAGUGUGCCCCUAAAGGAAAAGCUCUCAUUUUGUUUUCUUAAUUAAUAUUUUAAGGAAAGUGAGAACCAUAAAACACAUGACUCAAUCACUUCAGAAGUUCCGCGGCUUCGAAUUUAAGAUGCUGGAGGAAGGACUUUUCAUACCUGAAAAGUCUGAAUCUCUCACCUAGAAAAAAAAUAUUGCAGCCAAUGGAUGAAGUGGCUUAGGAAGGGCAGGGUGAUGGAUUUGCUGGCUUCUGUGAACACACAGUCAUGUUUGCCCGUCCACCUGGAAAUGGCUACAGAUAGAGACUGUGUCAGGUGUAUUGUGUGGAAACUUGCUGGUCACUUGUAGGCUCUUGCUUUUGUGGGCUGAGUCCUCUGCUUCCCUUCCCUACCUUUAUGGAGGUGUAAUUGACAAAAAGGUCACAUAUACAUUGUGAAAUGAUGAAUACA